rnacentral:rRNA from 1 species
CCUACGGGAGGCAGCAGUGAGGAAUCUUGGUCAAUGGGCGAGAGCCUGACCCAGCCAAGCCGCGUGAGGGAGUACUGCCUUAUGGGUUGUAAACUUCUUUGGUCGGGGAGCAAAAGCUGGACGUGUCCGGCUGCGAGAGUACCCGAAGAAAAAGCAUCGGCUAACUCCGUGCCAGCAGCAGCGGUAAUACGGAGGAUGCGAGCGUUAUCCGGAUUUAUUGGGUUUAAAGGGUGCGCAGGCGGAUUUUAAAGUCAGCGGUCAAAUCGUGGGGCUCAACCCCAUCCAGCCGUUGAAACUGGGGAUCUUGAGUGGGCGAGAGGGAUGCGGAAUGCGUGGUGUAGCGGUGAAAUGCAUAGAUAUCACGCAGAACCCCGAUUGCGAAGGCAGCAUACCGGUGCACAACUGACGCUCAGGCACGAAAGCGUGAGUAUCGAACAGGAUUAGAUACCCCAGUAGUC